ensembl:lncRNA
GUUCUUACCCCUCCCCAGAGAUUUACAUCAGACAAAGCAUGAAGUUGUUUCGAGCCGUUUAUUCCCACUUCAGGUGCUUCGCUGAUGCGCGCGCUAAUUUUCUGAGAGAUUUACAUCAGACGAAGCCCGGUGUUGUUUCAAGCCGUUUCUUCUCGCUUCAGCGGCCUUUAGUCAGCGCGCGGUCACAGCGUCCAGAGAUAUUUAUAUCAGAAGAAAGUUUAGAUAGCAAAUGUUGCCGUUCUUUUGGAAAACUGCUGGUCUUUAAAGAACAGUCAUUAAUCAGGAUCCUCUGUUCCCAGACCCAACCAUUCAUCUGAAGGACUGUGAAAAUAUGAACCCUUUGAACCACCGGUGACAGUUUCCACAUGAUAAAUAGAAAGGACAUGGCAGAGGAUGAUAGGGGUGUUGAUAUUUCACUGAAAUUAAACAUCAUUUAAUUACAUUUAGUCUGCUAGUCAGAAUUAUAGCUGAUUAAAUAAAAAUAAAUAGUGGUUCAUGUUUGUUUUGGGAUAGUGGUUCAUGAGUGCUUUGUCCUGAACAGUUUAAAUGGCCGCUUUUCUUCAGAAAAAUCCUCCAGAUCCUUCACUUUCUCAGGUUUUCCAGCAUCUUUUGCAUAUUUGAACUCUUUCCAGCAAUGAAUGUAUGAUUUCAGAUCCAUUUUUUACACUGAGGACAAUUGAGGGACUCAUACACAACUAUUUCAAAAGGUAAACGCAUUUAUUGAUUUUCAAGAAAUUCAUUUUUUCUGAAAAUCAGUGUUAAAAAGUAUGUAGCUUCAGAAGGGCAGUACUAAAUUAACAGAUAUGAUCUUUAAACAAAACAAGAAAAAUUUACUUAUCAUCCUGUUCAAAAUGUACACCCCCC